GUAAGAAGUACAGCUACACAGGAAUUUUUCUUCCCAGUGAACCUUCCCUCCCUUUGCAUCCAUUCUUUCUGGAUUGUUUUUCCAAUAUUGUUCAGUUGGCUGGUUGACCAGGCUGAUUUCAUUGGAGAUCUCUUAGUGCAGUCUCUAAAAUGAAGGACAGCUCAGGCCGACACAAUGAAUGAAAGCAGUUCCUGCUGUCUAUUCUCCUAAUCACCUACAGGACCAGACUUUCUGGAUACCAGGCAUGGCUUUCACCGUAUCCGGUUAUGAAUAACUAUCCAAACUAAAUGCUGUGCUAAUUGAAAUGGUUCUGAAGUAAAGUCAUUGACUUUUGCCUGAAGAGCUUUGUGACACUGCCUUGCAGACUUGUUCCAGAUAAACUCUGUUCUUCCGAUAGACUUGAAUUUUAGGUCCAUUUUGAAUCUGUAUCCAUUUCAUUGGAAAAUAACAAUGUGCUGCAGGAAAUAAGCUUGAGAAACUUGCCCAUGCAGUACAAUACAAUAAUGCUGGAAAGUGUCCAUAGUAUUCAGUGAACACCCAUUAUACUGUGUGAUAUGUUUUCCUUAUGUGAACUACACAGCUAAUAAUAUAAGGCUUGUCAUUCGGAGGCAUUUUGAGAAAUAAUUGAUAACACUUUUAUUGAUAAUUGUGAGGCUGUGAGAAAUAUUUGAGUAAAUCUGUUUUAUUUAUUUCACACAAUUUAUAGACCACUUAAAAAAUCUCUAAUGGAUUACAAAAAAUUGUAUUCAUUAAAAAAAUGCUAUUUGUUAGAAAACAGAGAGGCGUUUGUGAGUGCGCAUGCCAUUGUAUUGGAAGGAAGAAUCUAUACUUUCCUCCUUAGUUUUCAGAGCAAAUUUCUUUCAUUCCUGUUUCAUGAUGCAAUCAGGAAUAUAGAUGCUUUCAUUAUGGAAAGAACCUGAUAAUUAAGCUCAACUUCCUGCCAUCAGGCAGGAUAACUCUGCCUAAAGAACUUGUUUUCUAAACUCUUUAGUAUGUUUGUAUCUCUCUUCUGAAUCUUUUCCACCUUUUCAGAACCUUUCUCAAACUGCAGUGUCUGGAAUAGAGCACAGCACUGAAACUGAGGGCCUCGUGCUGAAUAAAGCAGUAGUGUUAAGCCCCCAGUACUAA